UGGGGAAUAUUGGACAAUGGGCGCAAGCCUGAUCCAGCCACGCCGCGUGAGUGAUGAAGGCCUUCGGGUCGUAAAGCUCUGUGGGGAGGGACGAACCGCUGUUGGUUCAUAUCCAGCAGCAUGACGGUACCUCCUUAGCAAGCACCGGCUAACUUCGUGCCAGCAGCCGCGGUAAUACGAAGGGUGCAAACGUUGCUCGGAAUUAUUGGGCGUAAAGCGCACGUAGGCGGCUUUUCAAGUCCCAUGUGAAAGCCCACGGCUUAACCGUGGAAGUGCAUGGGAAACUGGAAAGCUUGAGUACUUAAGAGGAUCGCGGAAUUCCCGGUGUAGAGGUGAAAUUCGUAGAUAUCGGGAGGAACACCAGUGGCGAAGGCGGCGAUCUGGGAAGAUACUGACGCUGAGGUGCGAAAGCGUGGGGAGCAAACA
rnacentral:rRNA from 1 species